UACGUAGGAUGCAAGCGUUGUCCGGAAUUACUGGGCGUAAAGGGUGCGUAGGCGGCGCGGUAAGUCGGGUGUGAAAUCUCGGGGCUUAACUCCGAAACUGCAUUCGAUACUGCCGUGCUUGAGGACUGGAGAGGAGACUGGAAUUUACGGUGUAGCGGUGAAAUGCGUAGAUAUCGUAAGGAAGACCAGUGGCGAAGGCGGGUCUCUGGACAGUUCCUGACGCUGAGGCACGAAGGUCAGGGGAGCAAACGGG
rnacentral:rRNA from 1 species